AUGACUUCAACCAAAUUAAUGGUCCUAAUAAUUAAAUUCCCAGGCCCAGCUAAGAAUUAAUUAUUUCUUAAUUAAAUCGGCCCAGCCCUCUUUGCUAUGGCCCAAUUGAACUUAACCAUUUUUGGCCCAAAACCAUUCUCUUCUUCCUCUCUUUUUUCUAUUCUAGUGAGGCCCAAAGGGAAAGUCAAUGGGGCAUGGCCCAAUUAACUCCCCACCUGUCGACCCUCCCCUCUCAUUUCUCUUCUCCAUUUUCAAUUUGGAGCAAAACCCUAACUCCCUCCUCCUUCUUCCUCGAUGGGCACCACCGGAGCACGCUGCCGCUCACCGGCGUCACCCUUCACUCCCUAGUUCACGCCGAUCGCACCACCACCAUGACCAAUGGCUCGCUCGGCCGCCCGUCGAAACCCCCAGCGACCCCUGCUCGCGACGCCUCCAUCACGUCGUGGCCGUCGUCGACUGUAGGCCGUCAUCGCCGCCCUGUCAUUCGCCUCUUCACGGUAAUUCGGCCCCGUCGUGGGUUCUCCGACCGAGGCAGACGCCGUUCGGUCCGUUUCACAAGCCAGCGUCGUCGCCACCACCGCUGCUCUUCGGUGUCGCCGCUGAGCCCGGGUGUUUCCGCGGCUAUCUUUGCGGCCUUGCCGUCGUCAGUGGCCUCCGAGGUAGCUCCUCGGCCUCAAAGCUAAGUGUUCCUAACUUAGCUAACUUUUAUGUUUUCUUUAGACGAAGUUGAUCCUGAUUACAUGGUUUAGAACUAGGCAGAUUUUGGUGGUUUAGUUAUGAGGGAUUAAACUGCAAAUCCUUAGACAUGUUGCCUAGUUUCACUACAUUCUAAUUCCAUUAAAUCACUGUAAGGCAAUUGAAAACGAGCUCUUUUUAUUCCAGGAGUUAUUGGCUGCUGCUCCCAAUCUCAAAUGUUCUUACAUUUAUGGGUUUUGCUUGAUGAUAUUGCUAUUUGUGAUGUUCUACUGUGAGCCUCGGUUCUUGGCUAUCUAAUGCCUUAUGCUACAUGAUGCUAGCAUGAUUUUGAUGAUUUACCUCUUGUGACUGAUGAGUGAGGCUGCUCCUUACUCCUACUCGAUCCCUCUCUGCCCUGGCCCUUCUCACUCCUUUACUAUCUUGUGAUUGAUUUUGUGAUGAGGGAGGCAGAAGAGGCUGAGGCCUAUUUGUACUUGUGGUCUAACCGAAAGCCUGAAAAAAAUGGCUGAUAUCCCUAGCUAAAAAGGGCCUUUGGUUGGUUAAGAGUUGGUUGACUUCUCUGCAGCUUUGCAGAGUGUAUACUCUGAAAAUUUUGGCUUCUUUCCCAACCGAUUCUGGUGGUUUUCUGGGUGUACUCGUGAGCUGAUGAGUCUGUGGUCCCUCAUUGUGUUCUGAUGCUCCCACUGAAAUUGAUGUUUUAUUUUCGUACUCCCCUGCUGCCCAUUUAACAGCAUUUGUCUCUAUAUGGGGUUUAGUACUUGGUUUAUUUAUUGUUUCUAUUGGUCUAUGGCAGGUGCACACAGGAGGGAGCAUCUUAUGGCUGAUUCUUUGACCAUGGCGGGUCUGAAUUAAGUGCGAGCUGUAGGGAUGCAGCCUUGUACAGUGCAGCCACUGAGAUGGAAUUGUGUUGGCUGACUUGCUUCUCUCGGCCCAGCUCUCGCUCACUCUAGGGAAGGAGCCGAGACUGCUACCGAGGUUGCCCCUUCCUCGUGGUCUCGUCCUCAAAUUCGGGGCCGAGACGGCUCGCGUUAAAGGCCGAGGAAGUUCACUAGGAACUCUCAGUUGUUGUAGUUCGAUAUGAACUCUCUUUUGUUUAUCUCAACAAGUAUGUAGUAGCUCAUAUAGUUGGUGUGUAUUUAAUUUCAAACAUUUGAAAUUUGUUAGCUUUAGAAUUUCUGAAAUUUGUAUUAAUACUCUUAUUCAAGAAUUAAAAAUACUCCCUCGUUCUUUAAUAAAAUUCUAGCAUUUUAUUUCAUAA